UUGUUUGGUUUCCUGUAGAGCCCUGCUAGCCAGGCUUACCUAAUGCAAAAGGUGCCCCUUAGCCUGGCUUCGGUAGUACGCGAAAAUCGACCGCUCUAGCUGAAGCCAGGCUUGUACUAGCCGAGUUGGCACAUCCCCUCACCUUCCUCCUGCUGUUCCGCUUUGCUCCUUCGCAGCUACAAGCUUGACCCUGCCGAUACAUGGAGGAGACUCCGGGAAGGUCGAGGCUCGAGACUCCUGGAACGACGUCGACGUCGUUGCCGAUGGGGGCGCAGGGCUGGCAUCGGGCGCCUCCCCUUUCUGAUCUUGCCUUCGAAGUUCCAUCCUCCAAUGGAGGGAAGCAAGAACGGAGUACAGAGGAGUCAAAUUAAUCAAGUACACGGCUGAGCACAAACUCCCCGCGAGCUGGUGGCCGACGCCGCCGUCGUUGCUGCGGGAGAUGGUGAGCCCAGAUCUUGCUUGUUUGUUCCUCUUUGGAUUUUGAGGAAAGCCUCUUCCUUUUGCUUGCUUGCUCCUCCGUGAGUUUACAGUGAUUCAGCGGCUCGCUUGGUCCUCCGUGAGUUCAUACUGGUUCAGUGGAUAACCUGUUCGUCAAAAUGUGCUUCCGAGGAGGACUGUUGGUUUUCAUUUUUUUAUUUGUACGACUUGCUUUGUAGUAUUCAUAUGAUUCAUAUUUAUUCUACGGAAGGAAGAGAUGAUUUUAUUCAAGGCA